UAAUUUAUGAAAGGAGGCAUGUAUUAGCCUAGUAGGGCCCAGGGGUUCUGAUAAGGACCCUUAGCAGCCUUGUAGAGGGGUUGAGCUAGGGCUGCAAAGUUAGGAAUUCAGAGACAAAAGAAAUUAGCUAAACCUAGGAAAGAUGUAACCUGUUGUUUAGUUGUGGGCACCUGGAGAUCAUGAAGAAUUGCCUUACGAUCUGAGGUGAUGGCACAAGUGGUAGGGGUGAGAGCGAGACCUAGGUAUUUGACUUUUGGGGAGGCUAUCUGGGCUUUAGCAGAAGAGACCCAGGAUCUACGACUAGCAAGGAAAUUAAGAAGACUGGCUGAAUGGUGUAUGGCUAACAUAUGGGAUGGAGAACAUAAUAGAAGGUCGUCUAUGUAUUGAAGAAGAACGCUAGGUUUGAGAUCAAGUUCUAUGAGCAUGAAAGAAAAAAGACAAAAAAAGGCAUGUAUCAAAUAUUAAUAUACUAGUGAAUGAAGAGGAAAAAUUAUCUAAAUCAGAGCUGCCUGAACUUCUGCUGAUGCAACUUGCUGGAACCUCAAUGGCACUUAAGUCAGAGUUUGGUGAGUCCCAACAGAGAACAGAGCUGGCAAGGGACCUGCAUUGACCCGUGGUGAAUGCUGGGAAUAAGACGCUCCCAGGGGAAAGAGGCAACCACCUGGAUGACAUGUUGGAAUCUGGCAGGACUAGCGGGAACAAUCAUCAGCAGUGACACCAGUCAGUUGUUCCCUUCCCAGACCAGAUUGGUGGGAUAUGCUUGACCUGAGUCACACCCCUGGCCAGGACCCAAUAAAUUGCCCCAAACCAAUUCUGUACACAUGGCACACACUAAUGCAGUGAAAACCCCACAGGCUGACUGACCCAAGGGGAGGGGCCAGCAUACGCAGCCUCUGUUUGCACCUCAGUGAUCAACAGUUAACUGGAGAGGGCAGAAAUCCCUAGUCAGCAUGCUUCAGAAGAACUAUAACCAACAAGGAAAGGGGCUGGAAGCUCCUCUAUACACCUGUAUGGAAGAAACCAAAAACAUGAUAUGAGAAAGAAACAAGAAAAAGUCCCCAGCCCUCAGCCUUGAGAACAUUGAUCCAGGAGAGGUAAAUACAAAAGAGAUUGAGGACAGCAAACAUGCAAUAUCAGACACAGCAUCAGUAGAAUAAAGACACAUCUUCAGGACCUCAUAGACAAGCUCAAAAGUGAAAUAUUUAAUCAAAUAAAGCCAUAUGUAAGUAGAUUAAUAAAAGAAAUGCUAAGCACCUCUCAAGAAGGCACAGAUGGAAGAAUGGAAGAGCACAAAAAAUGGAGAGAAAUGUUCGAUGAAGAAUAUAAAGAAAACCUAGAAUACAUGAAACAGAUUCAAAAAGAUUACCAGGAAAUAAACUCCAUUGAAAGCUGGCAAAACUGCUUGAAAGAAACUAAGGAUAGACUAUCAAAACUUGAAGACAGUUUUGCAAAGUGUGAUUAUGAAAGGAAAAAUUUCUUAAAAAUAACAAGGAAACAGGCAGUAACAAUACAAAGGCUAAAAGAUGACAAGAGAAUCUAUAACUUAAGAAUAAAGAAUGUAAAUGCAUAAGCAGGAGUAAAAACAAAGGAAAUACAAAGGCUAUUCACAGAAAUAAUUAAGGAAAACUUCCCAAGCAUAGUAAAAGGAAAUAAUAUUCAGAUGUAUGAGGUAUACAGAACUCCAGCCGGCAACAACCAAAACAGAGCUACACCCAGGCAUAUAAUAAUUAAGAUCCCAGAAAUUCAAUAUAAGAACAGAAUAUUAAAAGCCAUCAGAGAGAAGAAACAGAUCACCUAUAAAGGAAAACCCAUCAAAAUCAUGUCAGAGUUCUUAACACAGACCAUCAAAUCAAAAAGAGCUUAGAGCAAAGUAUUCCAAGCCCUGAAAGAAAAUAACCUCCAGCCCAGAUUGAUGUACCCUGCAAAAUGUCUCUAGAAAUUAAUGGAGAAACAAGAUGCUUCCAAGACAAAGAGGAACUGGGGGAAUUCACAGCCACUAAUCCAACCCUACAGAGAAUGCUGAAGGACAUUCUGGAGAGAGAAAAGAG